AUGAACGCUGGCGGCGUGCCUAAUACCUGCCAGUCGCGCGAACAGACGAGGAGCUUGCUCCUCUGACGUUAGCGGCGGACGGGUGAGUAACACGUGGAUAACCUACCUAUAAGACUGGGAUAACUUCGGGAAACCGGAGCUAAUACCGGAUAAUAUAUUGAACCGCAUGGUUCAAUAGUGAAAGACGGUUUUGCUGUCACUUAUAGAUGGAUCCGCGCCGCAUUAGCUAGUUGGUAAGGUAACGGCUUACCAAGGCAACGAUGCGUAGCCGACCUGAGAGGGUGAUCGGCCACACUGGAACUGAGACACGGUCCAGACUCCUACGGGAGGCAGCAGUAGGGAAUCUUCCGCAGUGGGCGAAAGCCUGACGGAGCAACGCCGCGUGGGUGAUGAAGGUCUUCGGAUCGUAAAACUCUGUAUUAGGGAAGAACAAAUGUGUAAGUAACUAUGCACGUCUUGACGGUACCUAAUCAGAAAGCCACGGCUAACUACGUG
rnacentral:rRNA from 1 species